rnacentral:rRNA from 1 species
AUUGAACGCUGGCGGCAUGCUUUACACAUGCAAGUCGAACGGUAACAGGCCGCAAGGUGCUGACGAGUGGCGAACGGGUGAGUAAUGCAUCGGAACGUGCCCAGUCGUGGGGGAUAACGCAGCGAAAGCUGCGCUAAUACCGCAUACGAUCUAUGGAUGAAAGCGGGGGACCGUAAGGCCUCGCGCGAUUGGAGCGGCCGAUGUCUAGAUUAGGUAGUUGGUGGGGUAAAGGCUCACCAAGCCAACGAUCUGUAGCUGGUCUGAGAGGACGACCAGCCACACUGGGACUGGGACACGGCCCAGACUCCGACGGGAGGCAGCAGUGGGGAAUUUUGGACAAUGGGCGCAAGCCUGAUCCAGCAAUGCCGCGUGCAGGAAGAAGGCCUUCGGGUUGUAAACUGCUUUUGUACGGAACGAAACGGUCCUGGUUAAUACCUGGGGCUAAUGACGGUACCGUAAGAAUAAGCACCGGCUAACUACGUGCCAGCCGCCGCAGUAAAAC